UAUUUCUUGGGUUUUCAGAUGCUAAAAACCACCACCCAAUGGAAGAAAUUAACUCCUUGAUGAUCAUGAGCACGUAGCCCCCAGACCUUCUGGCACCUAAGGAUGGAUAAUGUUACCUGCCCUGUGGCCUCAACAUCAACCAGUCAGAGGAUUGUGCACGAGUAUUCAAUAGGAGCCGUGGACAUUGCUUAGAAAGACAAAACUUCAUUGAAGACCUUCAGAAUGGUCCCAUCAGAAAGAAUCGGGAUUCCAGUGUAUCCAGAACAAGUGGCUUUGAAGACUC